GCUGGCGCUUGGCCACAGGAGUGGAAGGAGAGGACUUAAGAUCCCUCGGUGCGCAAGCGCUGUGCCGGUUCGACCCCGGCUGCCCGCA
rnacentral:tRNA from 1 species